UGGGGAAUAUUGCACAAUGGGCGAAAGCCUGAUGCAGCAACGCCGCGUGAGUGAUGAAGGCCUUCGGGUUGUAAAGCUCUGUCUUCUGGGACGAUAAUGACGGUACCAGAGGAGGAAGCCACGGCUAACUACGUGCCAGCAGCCGCGGUAAUACGUAGGUGGCAAGCGUUGUCCGGAUUUACUGGGCGUAAAGGAUGCGUAGGCGGAUACUUAAGUCAGAUGUGAAAAUCCCGGGCUUAACUUGGGAACUGCAUUUGAAACUGGGUAUCUAGAGUGCGGGAGAGGAAAGAGGAAUUCCUAGUGUAGCGGUGAAAUGCGUAGAGAUUAGGAAGAACACCAGUGGCGAAGGCGACUUUCUGGACCGUAACUGACGCUGAGGCAUGAAAGCGUGGGGAG
rnacentral:rRNA from 1 species